AACAAACGCUGGCGGCAGGCUUAACACAUGCAAGUCGAACGCAUCCUUCGGGGUGAGUGGCAGACGGGUGAGUAACGCGUGGGAACGCGCCCUUCAGUUCGGGAUAACCCAGGGAAACUUGGGCUAAUACCGGAUACGUGCGAGAGCAGAAAGAUUUAUCGCUGAAGGAUCGGCCCGCGUCUGAUUAGCUAGUUGGUGGGGUAAUGGCCCACCAAGGCGACGAUCAGUAGCUGGUCUGAGAGGAUGAUCAGCCACAUUGGGACUGAGACACGGCCCAAACUCCUACGGGAGGCAGCAGUGGGGAAUAUUGGACAAUGGGCGCAAGCCUGAUCCAGCCAUGCCGCGUGAGUGAUGAAGGCCUUAGGGUUGUAAAGCUCUUUCGUCCGGGACGAUAAUGACGGUACCGGAAGAAGAAGCCCCGGCUAACUUCGUGCCAGCCGCCGCAGUAA
rnacentral:rRNA from 1 species